rnacentral:rRNA from 1 species
AUUGAACGCUGGCGGCAUGCUUUACACAUGCAAGUCGAACGGCAGCGCGGGCUUCGGCCUGGCGGCGAGUGGCGAACGGGUGAGUAAUGCAUCGGAACGUGCCCGUAGUGGGGGGUAGCCCGGCGAAAGCCGGGUUAAUUCCGCAUACGACCCGGGGGUGAAAGCGGGGGACCGAAAGGCCUCGCCGCUUUGGAGCGGCCGAUGUCGGAUUAGCUAGUUGGUGGGGUAAAGGCUUACCAAGGCGACGAUCCGUAGCUGGUCUGAGAGGACGACCAGCCACACUGGGACUGAGACACGGCCCAGACUCCUACGGGAGGCAGCAGUGGGGAAUUUUGGACAAUGGGGGCAACCCUGAUCCAGCCAUGCCGCGUGCGGGAAGAAGGCCUUCGGGUUGUAAACCGCUUUUGUUCGGGAAGAAAUCCUCUGGGCUAAUACCCCGGGGGGAUGACGGUACCGGAAGAAUAAGCACCGGCUAACUACGU